CACACACACACACACACACACACAGAGGUGAAGCUAGAGGUCAAAGUUGAGUGAACACAGAUUGGUCUCGUCUCAGGUGUUCAUAUCUGUGCAGCUCUCGUGUUCUCCUUGGCAUGCGGUUGUUUCUUUUUGUAUAUCAGCUCUCCUAUAGUCUCUGAAACACUCGCAGAUUGACAAAUGUGUUUUGACAACACUCAGGGAGAUAAGCACUCGGUCUCCAGGAUCUCUCCCAGGGACACGUUUCUAUUUACACCUCCUCCGCCUCGCACAGGAGACGCUUAAUCUUCUCCAUGAUUUGUGGCUUCAGCUCCAAAAAAAAACCCCUCUCUCCUCUCUCCGUCUUCCCUCCUUACUUUUCUCUCUCUGUUCUGUUUUCUCUCCUCCUCCUCCAUGCAUCAUCAUUGUGUUUGUGUUUGUUUGUGUGGAGUUGUGCAGCAGACUUCAUUGUCCGCUGAAAGGUAAAGCAGAGGAUAGGAGGAGCACGCUGCAUGGAGUGACCCUGAUGCCAAUAACAGCGCUGUAAUCACUUUCAAUGUGUUUUAUUGUCCGCUUUUCACAGAUUAGAGCCACAAUAAUCUGUCCUCCUCUAUCCAUCUCAUCCCGAGCUGUUAUUUUUGGCACCAGGAUUCUGGAUUAGUAGGUGUGAAAGUGUUUUUGUUUUUUUGUGUUUUUUUUGUUGUCGGGCUGAGUGUGUUGACGUGCUUGUACUUGUCGCGAGGUUGUACAGCGAGCGAGGUAUCUGCAUCAUUCAUUGUGCUGGGGAGAGUAAUCUGAAGUGGAUGUUGUGCCGGAUCUGUUUGCAGAAAGCAGAUACUGAAAUUGAGUGUGGCUGGCCUGCACGCUCAGAAUCUGCCUUCUUGAAGUGGAAAUCAACAUUUCAUGGGUGUGCAGGGAUACAUCAAAAACCAGCGAAAUACGCUUAAAGCCACAACAUGGACUAAUCCCAGACUGUAGUGUGUGUGUGUGUGUGUGUGUGUGUGUGUGUCUGUGUGUCUGUGUGUGUGUGUGUGUGUGUGUGUGUGUGUGUGUGUGUGUGUGUGUGUGUGUGUGUGUGUGUGUGUGUGUGUGUGUGUGUGUGUGUGUGUGUGUGUGUGUGUGUGUGUGUGUGUGUGAGUGUGUGUGUGUGUGAGUGUGUGUGUGUGCUGCAUCUGCAAGCACAAUACACACAUCAGUCACCGUGCAGAGAGGAGAGGACGGGGAGGAGCGAAGGGUGUUUAAACUCUCAAGACUCAAAACGAUCGAGAGCAUCUCUGAGUACCAAAAUAUUUUAAAAAACAACAAAUCUAUUAAAUGAGACUGUGAAGGAGAACAACAUGUCAACAUAAUGGUUUUAUGCUGAAGACAGCGUGCAGAAGUUUAAACCACAGACUGUAAAUAUUAACGUUUGAAGCCUGAGUGUCGUCCCCGUCUGUUCCUGCAGGGGGCGCUGGAGUCCCAUCGAUGGCGGUCUCCAUGCUGGAAAUGCUGUCUCAGUCUAACUUUCAGUCAACCUAACGACAGGCUGAGAGCUGGAGCUGAGGCGGGUUUUAAACCUCCUGACAAACCGUUACACCGCGCCCACCUGUCAAUCAGGUCAGCUACACGCCUUAUUGUGAAUAACUCUUAUCCUUCAUCAAAUCAAAACUGAUGAGUCAUCAAAACAUUCACCCCCCCCAGCCUCUAGUGGACACUCCAGGAACUGCAGGAUUUUUUUUUUCACUUCUUCAGUUUUCAUACUGGAGGUUGCUGCUUGGUUUAAAUGCACUUUUUGGUAAAUAAAAACAAGAUAUUUGUCAACUAUGACUUCUAUCUUUGUUGUAUCGACAUCGUUGGAUUUUUACUUGUAACAUAUGAAAGUUAAAGAUUCUGUUGUCAUGGUAACGUGGUGUGUAAACAGUGAAAACAUAUUAAAGAACUUUCAUUAAAGAAGCUUCAGAUUGCCCACUCUCUGUCUUCUUAAAACUGGCCUCGCUGUGAUUACCCGCCUUCACAAUUAAAACUGUCAUUUCCAUCAGUCCACUUAAAGUUUGAAGUCAAAUCCCCCUCCCCUAAUCCUGCACGGCCCCGUCUGAUUCACAGCAGCUCCACGGACACGGUGCAGGAAGGCGUGCGUCCCCUCCUCCCUCUGCCCCUCGGGGUGAAUACUGACUGAUGACUUUCAUUUUCACAUAUCAACUCUGCCGCUAAUUUUACUCCUUCCAAUUAAUUCCAGGUAUUCUUGCACAGGACUCGCUAUGAUUAGAAGCAGCCGGAGGAUGUUUCCACUGCUCUUCAUUGCACACACACACACACACACACACACACACACACACACACACACACACACACACACACACAGACUGUGCAGAUCUGCAGCCUUUUUCCUGUUUUUUUUUCUUUUUUAGCGAGAUCAUCACUAUUUUCUUGCAGACGUAGGACUGUCACGCCUGUCUCUCUCUCUCUCUCUCUCUCUCUCUCUCUGUCUCUAUCUCUGUCUCUAUCUCUCUCUCUCUCUCUCUCUCUCUGUCUCUAUCUCUCUCUCUCUCUCUCUCUCUCUCUGUCUCUAUCUCUCUCUCUCUCUCUCUCUCUCUCUGUCUCUAUCUCUCUC